GGGAAUGCAUUGGUAGACAGAUUGUUGCCAGGCUCAGAGAGAGGCCAUAGGCAGUGUUAUAGGGGCUAGAGCAAAGGAGGNGUGAGAGGCUUUGCUGAUUGAGAUUAAGAUAUCUACCAGAUAUCUUGGGACACUGUAGUGCCGACCAAGUGGGGGUAAAAGACAGCAUUCCAUUUUUAUAAUUUUACAGCAACACAUACACCUGCAGAGAAGCCAUUGGUAUUUUGUACAGUAAAUUUUCCCCUUUUCCCAUGUAUUUGAGGCUCAUCACCAAGUUUUCUUCUGUUAGUUUGAGUAUCUGGUUUUAUGUGGAGUUCCUUGAUCCACUUGAAUUUAUAGGUUUGUAAAAUGUGAUAAGAAUGGGUCAAUUUGCAUUCUUCUACAUCUUAACCUCCAGGUGAACAAGCACCAUUUGUUGAAAUGUUAUCUUUUUUCCACCUGAUGGUUUUAGUUCCUUUGUCAAACAUCAGUUGACCACAUGAGUGUGGGUUCAUUUCUGGGUCUUCAAUUCUGUUCCACUGAUCUGCCUGUCUCUGUACGAAUACCAUACAGUUUUUAUCCUCAUUGCUCUGUAGUACUGCUUGGGGAUGAUGAUUUCCCCAGAAGUUCUUUUAUUGUUGAGUAUUUUGUAUGCUAUUCUGGUUUUUUUGUUAUUCCAAAUGAAUUUGCAAAUUGCUCUUUAGUCUUUGAAUAAUUGAGUUGGAAAUUUGGUGGAGAUUUCAUUGAAUCUGUAGAUUUCUUUUGGCCAAAUGGCCAUUUUUGCAAUAUUAAUCUUGCCAAUCCCUGAGCAUGGGAGAUCUUUCCAUCUUCUGAGAUCUUCAAUUUUUCUUCAGAUGCUUGAAGUUCUUGUCAUGUAGACAUUUCACUUGCUUGGUUAAUGUCACAACAAUGUAUUUUACAUUUUUGUGACUACUGUCAAGGGUAUCAUUUCCCAAGGACACAUGCUGCUCUAUGUUUAUCAAAGCCUUAGUUAAAAGAA
rnacentral:lncRNA from 1 species